CUCUGGUUGCAAGGACAUUUCCUCCUGAGAGGAGGGUGUCCCCGGAUGUGCUAUGGCAGCGGUUUUGGAAGGUGGCCAUGGGAUCUCAAGAGUGAGAGCUUUCUUUUCACGCACUGGAUGGGAGUCAUCAGAGGCGUGGGGAAGAAUGAGAUGGUGGCCCGUGGCUGACCCUCCCUGGAAGGAGGCAAGAGAUGGAGCGAGGAGGUCCUGGAGAAGAAGACGGUCAUCUAAAAACACAGGAGAAGACCGAAAUUGCUGAAUGCCGCCUCCUACAAGGCUCCAGGAACACGAGGUCCCGGAUCUCUGAACGAAAACCUAUGUACGCUUUUCCUUCCCUCAGCGGAGGUCUGGGUCCUUCGGCGACCAGCUCCAUCGGAACCUGGGCCGCGUGGGGAUCGGAAGCCCCUCCCGGGCCGCUGCUGCUCUGGAGAUUUGAACCAGAUCUCUGAGGUUUCAUUGGCUUAGGGCCCUGGGACAAAUGCCGCACGGCUUCCCAGGAACCAUCGGGGCGCCGCCCGGUCGUUGUCACGGUGAUCAUGAAGCAAAGGGCGCUGCGUCGCCGCCUACGUGACGCGCUCGGCAUCACCCAGCAACCUCUUAGCUGGUGGAGGAGAAACCCAGGAGGGCGUUUCCGGGCGUGCCCAAGGGACGCUGGGCCAACGAGGGACUAGGAAGUCACCCUGGACCGCUGCGUCGAGGAGGCGGGGCCUCUGGCGUUUGGCCCGCCCCUUCUGCCACGCUAUGGGCAGUGGGCGGUGGCAUCAGGUAGUUGCUGCCAGGAAAUGGCCGGGCGUGUCGCUCAAGCGGGAUCGGAGAAGACGGGAUCGGAGAAGACGGGAGCGUGCUGGACGUUUCGCCUCCGCGGCACCAGCGCUAGUCCUUCCCCAGAGCCCCGCCGGCGCUGGCCACCGGGCCACCCGACGUGAAUGCCGCGGGGUCGCAGCGUGUCCAGCCGUCGCCUGUGGAGAUGCGUGCGCAUACGGAGAGGGACGCAAGCUCUGAGGUCAUACCAUCCACCGCCCGGCCGUUUCCUGGCUGGCUGCCUGCUUCUUCUCGUCGGUCCUGCCGACGGAACGGGCGUUGACAUGAAUGGGGGCCCCGGAGGCCUUCCCCGAGUGUUUAUUUUACAUGACAGCGCUCUCCCCACCCAGCUGUGCAGCUGCACACCUGUACAGGUGGCUUUCGCUACGCUGAUGCGGUCUGUCGUGGGGCCGCUCACCCUCACCUAGGGUUGGUUGACUUCCCACAGACCGCUUGGUCUUCCACGGGAAUCUCUGCUUUCACAUUUCAGACUAGGCAAGAGAGGAAACGUGCGGAGUGGGCAUCGGGCUGUGGCCAGAGAGGGGCAGUCCCUGUGAAUCCCAGGUCCGGUGUGGAGGGCUAUUGGGUCUUUCAGUCUUCCUGACCCGAUGCUGGUAUCUCAUACUAUUGUUCCCUGACUCCUGAGUUCUAACUGGUGUUCUCCAAGUGUCAUUAUUAGAGGUGAAUGAAAUCAAAGCUUCUCUGAA